GGUCAAUGAUGGUUGGCAUGUAUUAUCUGAAUCUAAAGUUGAUGUUUAUCACCACAUUAGCUCUAGAAUUACUCUGAGACCUU